rnacentral:lncRNA from 1 species
GGGCAAUUGAGGAUCGGCAAAUGCAACUGGAGAGAGCACUUUUGCAGCUACAUUUUUUUCAUAUUGCUUAUUGGAUUCCAAGUUGAAAUAGAGGAGUUAUUGGAUUUUGAAGUCAGUGCAUGCAAUCUAAGGGUAGUAAGUGACCCGAUUUACUAGUGGUUGUGUCUUGAGCUAUAUCUUGAGUAAUUCGACAAUAUUUUAGCUUAAAUUUUCAAGGAAUGUGUAAAUUCAUGUUAAUAAACUUUAUACAUAAGUUUGAUGAUAUUUGAGUAUUAGAUUCUUGAGAUAUUAAGAAAAUAGUGCUCAGGUGCUUGUAAAUUAGGGUUUAGAGUAUUUGCUAGGGUUUCUUAGAUGCCAAAAGAUCGAGAGUGAAUUUGUAGUUGAUAUUUUUUGGGAUAAAACUUAAGGGUGAAUUCUACCUAUCCUAUAAAUUUUAGACAAAUUGAAUAGUUAGAUCAAGAGUUAUGAAUUUCUAAAGUUCAGAAAGAGAAAAUCCUUUGUGGGAAAAAUAUGUGUUGAAGGGGUUUUGUUAUAUUUUGAGUUUUAUGCAAAGUAAAGGAGUUUUAGAAUCUA